GUAGUCUCGCACAGAUGCAUAUCAAUAAGCGGAGGAAAAGAAACUAACAAGGAUUCCCCUAGUAACGGCGAGUGAAGCGGGAAGAGCUCAAAUUUGAAAUCUUAAAGGGUUUCCCUUUACGAAUUGUAGUUUAAAGAAGUGUUUUCUGUUGAGGUUUUGGUAAAAGUUCUUUGGAAUAGGACAUCAUAGAGGGUGAGAAUCCCGUAUUUGACCUUUACUUUCAACUUUGUGAUACACUUUCAAAGAGUCGGAUUGUUUGGGAAUGCAGUCCAAAAUGGGUGGUAAAUUUCAUCUAAAGCUAAAUAUUGGCGAGAGACCGAUAGCGAACAAGUACCGUGAGGGAAAGAUGAAAAGAACUUUGAAAAGAGAGUUAAACAGUACGUGAAAUUGUCAAAAGGGAAGCGUUUGACACCAGUGUUGUUUUUCUGAAAAUCAAUUAAAGAACUGUUUAUGCUAAGCUGUUUAGACUUUAUCAGCUAUCUGUUUAGUUUUGAGCUUUUCUUUAAUGCACUUUUCAGUUAACAAGUCAACAUCAAUCUCUUUUGCUGUAAAUAAAGCUUGAGGAAGGUGGCUUGAGAUUCGUCUUAAGUGUUUAUAGCCUCUUGCCUAUGCAGUCGGAGAGAUUGAGGUCUGCAGCGUAGAUCCUUCGGGGCUAAAUGCAUUUGUGCUAAGUUAUAGCAUUUUAUAGACAACUUGUUGACUAUGAUUUGUCUUGUAGCUUACUCGCUUAUGUUAUUUUACCUACGCUUAGGAUGUUGAUCUGUAGUGCGUGCGC
rnacentral:rRNA from 1 species